rnacentral:rRNA from 1 species
GACGAACGCUGGCGGCGUGCUUAACACAUGCAAGUCGAACGGAAAGGUCUCUUUCGGUGGGUACCCGAGUGGUGAACGGGUGAGUACCACGGGAGUAACCUGCCCUUGACACUGGGAUAACUUCAGGAAACUGGGGCUAAUACCGGAUAGGAGCUUCUUCUUCAUGGUGGGGGCUGGAAAGUUUUGGCGGUUGUGGCUGGUUUCGCGGCUUAUCAGCUUUUUGAUGCGGGAGGGGCUUACCAAGGCUUUGGCGGGUAGCCGGCCUAAGAGAGUGACCGGCAGCAUUGGGACUGAGAUGAGGCCCAGACUCAGACGAGGCGGAGUCGGGGGGAAGGUUGCUCAAUGAGUGGCGCUCCGAUGCAGCAACGUCCUGAUCGGGACAACGAUGUUGCUGUUGGAGACCUCGUUCGUUCAUAACGAAGCGUUGAAUGACGGUAGUGUACAAAGAAGCACCGGCUAACUACGUG